AUCUUCUGCCAGCUCCGCUGGCCUCUGGCAGGUCACAAAAGUGUUUGUGGUAAAUUGACAUAAAAAUCCGGGUUUCAGCCUCUCACUUUGUAUGGUGUACCUCAGCAUUUCACCCUGUCUGCUUCUCCCCAUGUUCCUUUUGAUGACGCUUCUCUCCUUCUCCCUCUCUGCAGAUAGUAAAGGGAUCCUUAUGCAGCAACACGUGAAAUGAACAAAGCUCCACAGCCCUCAGGAGGAACCCCAUCAGCCCCACACCCCUCCCCUUCUCCUGGACUUCCACAGCAGUCAGCAUUUCCUCCUGGCCAGGCGGCACCUGUGGUUUUUAACCCAGCACAAGCUACCCAAAUGAAUACGCCUUCCCAGCCUCGACCGUUUCCAGCAGGGCCGCGUUCUUUACAUCAGCAGGUACUAACCUCCCUCCGCUUGCCUCACUGCAUGCUGGAUGCCAUCCUAGGGGGAGGGAGGGGGCCCUUCGGGUCAGGGCUCGUGCUUGGACACUGCAGGGCAAAAGACCGCAGGGCUGGAGGGGCGCCUGAGGUGAUGAGAGUGAAGCCUCCAAGUUAAGACCCUCUGCGUCCCCGUGAACUCUCCUGUCUUACAGGAGGUUACCCCCCCCCUUCACUCUCCACCUUCCCAGUUUUUUUAGCGAGAGAGAGAGAGAGAUAAUAAUACAGGUAGCCCUCGACUUGACGGCCACAAAUUGAGGCCCAGAUUUCCGUUGCUGACCACGACGGUUGUUCGCUUGAGUCUUGUCUUGCCUGCGUUUUAUGGCCUUUCUAGUCACCGUUCUUAAGUGAAUCGCUGCGGCUAUUAAAUUACUAACACGGCGGUUGUGAAUAUGGCUUUCCUGUUGAUUUAGUUAGCCGAAAGGCCGCCAACUCUCCCCACCACCACAGGACGCUGCAACCGUCGUAAAUAUGAGCUAGUUGCCAAGCGUCUGAAUUUUGAUCACGUAACGUGGGGGAUGCUGCAGCGGGCGGUCGUGAGGAUGAAAACCGGCCGUAAGUCCCCUUUUUUCAGUGCCAACCUUAACUUUGGACAGUCGCCCAACACAUGGUUGUCAUUCAAGGACUACCUGUAUUAUUAUUAUUAUUAUUAUUAUUAUUAUUAUUAUUAUUAUUAUUAUUAUUAUUAUUAUUAUUAUUGGGUUGGAUUAAGAUGACGAGUGAGGAGCCUUUUGGUCUUGUUGCUUUAAACACAUUUGAAAGGGGGAGCAGAUCGUUUUGUGGAUCCCCCCCCCCCAAGUUCUUUUUUUAAGCCUGCAGGGAGGAGAGAUUGUUGGGGUGGGGAAAAAGAAGAGGUCCCUGUCUUCAGAGAAGAGAAGAAAACCUGGAGAAGAGAAACUAUAGGAUGGGUCAGGCCGGCAUGCGGAGGCUCAUCUUCCCUCUUGAGUUUACGACCAACAGGUUGUGGUUAGGGCCAGUUUGACUGCAGUGUCCACAGCCCAAUAGCUUCUCCACUUCCCUUGUGACUUGCAUGGCCUCUUGACUCAUGAAAGUGCUUCUCUUGCCACUGUUUCUCAUUUUUGCUCCACUCCUGCUGUCUGGCUUCCCCGUUUGGUGCUCCUCCUCCUCCUCUUCCUUCUUCCUCCCUUCCCCUCCCCUCGAAUACACUUCCCGACCUCUUCCCAGGGCUGGUUCUCCUGGAAUCCUUCUCUUCUCCCUCACUCCUCUCAUUCCCUUUCGGUGUGUUGCACGUCUUCCAGAGCUCCGGUC